AGCUUUCUGUGUGGCCAAUCCAAAGUGAGCAAGAGCUAUGAUUAUUCAGAAUAAAUCAGGGAUGGAAGCAAGACCUGUUCCUGAAGAAAUGUUUUAUUCAACAAAACUUGCCCAACUUGAGCAUUUUCCAGGCACAAAGAGCAGCUGGAUACUUCACUGUUAAGGAAUAUUAAUGAAACUGGGUCACCUGGCUUUGCCAAUCCCAGCCAGAGGAUUGUGCUUUUUCCCUUAUAACUGCUGUUUUACACAUGGCUCUGGAGGAAGAUCAAGAGCUGUCUUUGUAACAUUAAGGAUUCUUGAA